rnacentral:rRNA from 1 species
UUACCUGGGCUUAAAUGUAGAGUGCAUUUUCUAGAGAUAGGAAUUCCCUUCGGGGCUUUCUGCAAGGUGCUGCAUGGUUGUCGUCAGCUCGUGCCGUGAGGUGUCGGGUUAAGUCCCAUAACGAGCGCAACCCUUAUCGUUAGUUGCCAUCUGGUAAAGCAGGGGACCCUAGCGAAACUGCCACCGUAAGGUGAGAGGAAGGUGGGGAUGACGUCAAAUCAGCACGGCCCUUAUGUCCAGGGCUACACACGUGUUACAAUGGCCGGUACAGAGGGCAGCUACCUGGUGACAGGAUGCUAAUCUCGAAAACCGGUCUCAGUUCGGAUCGAAGUCUGCAACUCGACUUCGUGAAGCUGGAUUCGCUAGUAAUCGCGCAUCAGCCAUGGCGCGGUGAAUACGUUCCCGGGCCUUGUACACACCGCCCGUCAAGCCAUGGAAGCUGGGGGUGCCUGAAGUCCGUAACCGUAAGGAGCGGCCUAGGGUAAAACUAGUGACUGGGGCGAAGUCGUAACAAGGUAGCC